rnacentral:rRNA from 1 species
UGCGUAGGCGGCGCCGUAAGUCAGAAGUGAAAGCUUACAGCUUAACUGUGAAAUUGCUUUUGAUACUGCGGUGCUUGAAUUAGGUUGAGGUUAGCGGAAUGUGACAUGUAGCGGUGAAAUGCAUAGAUAUGUCAUAGAACACCAAUUGCGAAGGCAGCUGGCUAGGCCUAUAUUGACGCUCAGGCACGAAAGCGUGGGGAGCGAACAGGAUUAGAUACCCUGGUAGUCC